rnacentral:piRNA from 1 species
UGAUAAGCUAUGUUAAUGGAGAUGA